GCGAACGCUGGCGGCAGGCUUCACACCUUCAAGUCGCGCGGGCAUCCUUGUGGUGUCAGCGGCAGACGGGUGAGUAACGCGUGGGAACGUGCCCUUCGGUUCGGAAUAACUCAGGGAAACUUGAGCUAAUACCGGAUACGCCCUUUUGGGGAAAGGUUUACUGCCGAAGGAUCGGCCCGCGUCUGAUUAGCUAGUUGGUGAGGUUACGGCUCACCAAGGCGACGAUCAGUAGCUGGUCUGAGAGGAUGAUCAGCCACACUGGGACUGAGACACGGCCCAGACUCCUACGGGAGGCAGCAGUGGGGAAUAUUGGACAAUGGGGGCAACCCUGAUCCAGCCAUGCCGCGUGAGUGAUAACAGCCUUAGGGUUGUAAAGCUCUUUUCUCCGGGACGAUAAUGACGGUACCGGAGGAAUAAGCCCCGGCUAACUUCGUG
rnacentral:rRNA from 1 species